UGCCCUAUGGCGCAAUUGGCAGCGCGUCAGACUGUUAUUCGGUUUCCAAUCGGACAGUGGCAUCUGGAGGCUCUGAGUUCGACCCUCAGUGGGGCAG